CUCCCUGCAUGGAGCCUGCUUUUCCCUCUGUCUGUGUCUCCGCCCCUCUCUCUCUGUGCCUAUGAAUAAAUAAAUAAAAUCUUUAAAAAAAAUUAUAAUACAGGGAGAUAAGGGCUAUGGCAGUGGGUAGGACAAGAUGCUAGGGGAAUAAAAAAGAGAGAGAAAGAGAGAGAGAGAUUCAAGGAAGGCUGCCAGGAAGAGAGGACAUCUGAGGUAGGCUUUGAAGGAUGAGUAGAAGCUUGCCUUGGGGCAAAUGGGUUGAAUGGCCCAGAAUAUGGUUUCAAAUUAGGAGCCUACACCCUUGUCUUGACUCUGCUUCUGACUUUGGGUAACUCUGUCCCUCUGUGGACCUCUGUUUGUACAGUGAGGGUAUUAAUGGGGAAUUCCUUUGCCUGCUCACCUGUUUUCUGCCCAUGGCUUUUUAAGGAGAGUUUUAUCUUGUCUGACUGCUCUCUUUUGAGAUACAAAACUGGGAUAACAAGGAUGACAGAGACUGGAUGGAAAGGCAGGAAGGAAAAAAGAAAAGCAAGGGUGUGGGUAAGGGCCUAUGGGGGACAGUUUUGGAUGGAAGUGACAAGUUUGGUGAGUGAGUGAGAGGCAGCAGUGUGGCAUAAGAGGAUUAGUAAGAACACAGGAAAUUCUAAAGAUGUUCACAUAGAUUAGAGACCCCUUGAUGUCUUUCAAGAAUUCUAAGUAAGAAAUAAAUAAAUAAAUAAAUAAAUAAAUAAAUAAAUUUUUAAAAAAAGAAUAAGUAAAUGUUAGAGUCAUUUUUAAAUUACUUUUGGGAGUUAGAUGAUUGUCCUUGGACUUAAUACAUUUUAAUUAAUUUCUGAAACGGUUAGAAUGCAUACAAUUCAAAAUCCCAGAGAAUAAAAAGAUAUAGGUUUCCUUCCCAUUUCGGCCCCCAGCACCCUUCGAUCAACUUCUGCUCCCCCAGGGGUAACUGCUAUUAUGAGCUUCUUGUGUGAACUGUCAGUAAUAUUCUUUGCACACACAUAUGUAUAUGUAUGCACGUAUGUAUAUGUAUAUAUGACCUCCCCAUUUUGAGCACAAAUGAUAGCGUACUGUGCAUACUGUUCUGAAAUGUGUUUUAAAAACUUGAUAUAACAUGGAGAUCAGUCCCUAAUAGUACUUACAGAGAUGCUUCUUGUUUGUUAAUAUUAAACUACGUAGUAUUACAUUCUAUCAAAGUAAGGGUAGAUUGAAGUUGUCCAUUCAGUACUCUAUAGCUGAACAUUUACUUUGUUUUCAACCGUUUGUCCUUUAUACUGCAGUUCUUGAAUGUGACAUUGGAGGCUAAGCCUAUAAGGACCAUGUAGGGCCCUGGGAUUUACUUGGGUUAUAUAGAUAUUUGAGCUCAAUGGUGUCUUUGAAAGAUACUUAUUCAUUCUCUGGAUCAAGCUCUUCCCACCACCCUUUCCCUUGGUUCUACCCACCCUACCUUCUGGGCCGAGAGUAGAAGCCUCAGCCCUUCACCAUAACCUGCUCUCUGAAGUCCUCAAAACCCCUUCUACUCCAUAAAAUCUUCUUGGCCUGAUUCCCUUGUUUCCAGCCAAGAGUCUGCCACAAGGAGCUUUGGGCAGAAAAGCCAGGAAUAGAGACUCUGAUUAGACUGGAAAUAUUUAUUAAUCAAUUCCUGGACUUGCCUGGGGUCUCCCUGCUUAUUUUCCAUCUGCUUAUCUGGUUUUCUGUGGAUUUUGUUCUCUGUUUCUGCCAAAGGAGUUGUCUGGGUCUCUGUCAUAGGGCAGGACCUUACUUGUGAGCCUUAAAAAAAAUGUGCCAUCUAGGGAUCCCUGGGUGGCUCAGCGGUUGAGUGCCUGCCUUCGGGCCCAGGGCGUGAUCCCAGUUUGGGGAUCAAGUCCCAUGUCAGGCUCCCUGAAUGGAGCCUGCUUCUCCCUCUGCCUGUGUCUCUGCCUCUCUCUGUCUCUCAUGAAUGAAUUAAUAAAUAAAAUCUUAAAAAAAAAAAGUGCCAUCUUGUAGAAGAAACCCUUCCACCUUUAAUGUAAUUGCAUGGAAUAGUUAUUUAGAGAUCAUCUAGUGCAGUAAGUUACAGAUGAGGAAACAAGCAGGGAUGAGGGAGAAGUGCUAGCCCAGGACAAUCAAAUGAGCAAGUAAAAGGGACAGAACAGAAGUUUGAGGCUUCUACUUCCAGUUAUUACCUCUUCACCCUCUUCUUCAAGAGUUCAAACUCCGUCAACCUUUAUUCUUUCAAAACCUAGUAUAGGGAUCCCUGGGUGGCGCAGCGGUUUGGCGCCUGCCUUUGGCCCAGGGCGCGAUCCCGGAGACCCAGGAUCGAGUCCCACAUCAGGCUCCCAGUGCAUGGAGCCUGCUUCUCCCUCUGCCUGUGUCUCUGCCUCUCUCUCUCUCUCUCUCUGUGACUAUGUGACUAUCAUAAAUAAAUUUAAAAAAAUUUAAAAAAAACAGUAUAUAAAGGUAACAAUUGCAGUAUAUUCGAACAAUGGACUACUACUUGGCAAUAAAAAGGAAAAGCCAUAAAACCUGCAAAAAAUAUGGAUGAGCUUCAAAAUAUGAUACUGAACAGAAGAAACCACAUGCCAAAGAGUACACAUCAUAGAGAGAGGUUGGGAGAGAGGCGGAGAGAAAGGGAGACAGAGAAUCUCAAGCAGACUCUCCACCAGUGCUGAGCUGGAUGCAAGCCUGACAUGGGCCCAGUCCCAGGACUCUGAGAUCGUGACCUUAGCAGAAAUCAAGAGCCCACCAACCGACUGAGCCACUCAGGUUCGAGAGGCUUAUGGAACUUUCUGCUGCACCUUAUUCAGAAUGGACCUGCAGAAAUAUACAACCUGUUAAGCGAAGUCUAGAGCUGGCUCCUCAACCACAGGGCACCCACAACUUUUGCUGCAAUUGCUCAGCCCCUUUUGAUUCAGUAUCAUCCUUUUUGGUAUGUAGAACAAAGAUCCUGGGGAGCUGGCUUAUCCUUCUU